rnacentral:rRNA from 1 species
UGCAAGCUGACGAUCGACGCCGCGGCGGGAUGAGGCCUUCGGGUUGUAACCGCUGUCGUUGGGGAGGAAUGCGGGGGUUCUCCCUUCUGUUUGACCUAUCCAAGGAGGAAGUACGGGCUAAGUUCGUGCCAGCAGCCGCGGUAAGACGAACCGUACGAACGUUAUUCGGAAUUACUGGGCUUAAAGGGUGCGUAGGCUGCGCGGAAAGUUGGGUGUGGAAGCCCUCAGCUCAACUGAGGAACUGCACUCAAAACUGCCGUGCUCGAGGGAGACAGAGGUAAGCGGAACUCAAGGUGGAGCGGUGAAAUGCGUUGAUAUCUUGAGGAACACCGGUGGCGAAAGCGGCUUACUGGGUCUUUUCUGACGCUGAGGCACGAAAGCCAAGGUAGCAAACGGGAUUAGAUACCCCGGUAGUCUUGGCUGUAAACGAUGAGCACUUGUUUGAAGGGUCCUCCAUAGCCUUUCAGACGUAGCGAAAGUGUUAAGUGCUCCGCCUGGGGAGUAUGGUCGCAAGGCUGAAACUCAAAGAAAUUGACGGGGGCUCACACAAGCGGUGGAGGAUGUGGCUUAAUUCGAAGCUACGCGAAGAACUUAUCCUAGU